ensembl:processed_transcript 9130019P16Rik RIKEN cDNA 9130019P16 gene
GGAGGCGGUCCUGGCUGCGCGGCGGCGCAGCUCCCAGGUACAGAGUCCCGAGUGUGAGCCACGGGGACAAUGGGGCCAAGGGCUGGAGUUCCCCUGCACGCCACCUCGUCUAUAUAUUACAAACAUUUCUGAGCCCUCGCUAAGCCCCAGACAGCGCGUAUAUGCAAGGGGACAAAAGGAGAAUGGGACAGCCGGUUGUCCCGAUGAGCACAAGCAGUGCUGGUACAUGUUGACCAGAGACAGAGGAAGGUUGUAGGAAGAGAGGUGCUGACGGAAACACCGAACCCCGCCAGUGUUCCAGAGUGAAGCAAGAAGUCACUGUGUCAUGGGAACGCCUGACAGAAAUGGAAAUAACUCAGAUCGCACUUCACCAGGUGAAGGUAUUCUCCCUUGGCUGCUCAAGUAGAGUAGGCAGGAGGCGGCCCUUAGUUAAGAAGGCAGACAGAAUGGCUGAAAAGGUUGACUGAAGAAUGAAGUAUCAUGUGAUUCUGAAGAGGCCCUGCACGCGACUGGGGGUGUCCAGGAUGUGACCUCCAAUUCGUCUCCACACAGCAGAGAUCUGCAGGAUGAUGUCGAUGAGGAUGGGAAAGAAGAGCUGGGUGUUCCUUUGGGACAUCAGAGAAGUGCCCACUCUCGUGAAGAGGAGAGGAACUGGGUGGGCAAAGUCCUCCAUGAUGAUAAUGAUGGUGAGGGCUAGAACUGAUCGGGUAGGUCUUACUUUCCCGUCAAGCUGUGGUUCCUCAUCACCAGGUUCUGAGCAUCUUCCGAACAUGAGCACCAAAGACUUCUGCUGUUCUUGGAUGUUCUUUGUCCCUACUGUUUCCUGGAAUGGAUGCAUGGUUCUCAGUGUAAUGAGGUUUAAAAGGCAUCGGGCUUUUUAAAAGGUGGGGCUUGGUGGAAAGAGAUUGGAGCAUGACCACCCAGGUGAAGGGAUCGGAGUUAGCUUCUCAGAGGGUUUAGAAUGAAUUUACUUGCACAAAGCUGUCUGUUAUUAAAGAGCAAGAGACACCCUGCUCUCC